UUACUGUAUUUUUUGCUCUAUAAGACUCACUUUUUCCCUCCUAAAAAGUAAGGGGAAGUGUGUGUGCGUCUUAUGGAGCGAAUGCAGGCUGCGCAGCUAUCCCAGAAGCCAGAACAGCAAGAGGGAUUGCUGCUUUCACUGCGCAGCGAUCCCUCUUGCUGUUCUGGCUUCUGAGAUUCAGAAUAUUUUUUUUCUUGUUUUCCUCCUCCAAAAACUAGGUGCGUCUUGUGGUCUGGUGCGUCUUAUAGAGCGAAAAAUACGGUAUGCCAUAUAGCCCAAACAGCUACAAAGAUGCGCUUGAAAAAAUGUGGACAAUGCCUGCUGAGAAACUAGAAGAAUUGCGGUGUACAGAGUUUUCACUGACCUCUGUAGGACCUUGAUGCUGUUCAGGAGGAGCAGAAGUAGAAUAAGUUAC